AUUUUGGACAAUGGGCGCAAGCCUGAUCCAGCCAUGCCGCGUGAGUGAAGAAGGCNUUNNGGUUGNANAGCUCUUUCGGACGGNNNNNAAUCGCGCAGGAUAAUACCCUGUGCGGAUGACGGUACCGUCAUAAGAAGCACCGGCUAACUACGUGCCAGCAGCCGCGGUAAUACGUAGGGUGCGAGCGUUAAUCGGAAUUACUGGGCGUAAAGCGUGCGCAGGCGGUUGAUUAAGACAGGUGUGAAAUCCCCGGGCUUAACCUGGGAACUGCGCUUGUGACUGGUCAGCUAGAGUACGGCAGAGGGGGGGUGGAAUUCCACGUGUAGCAGUGAAAUGCGUAGAGAUGUGGAGGAACACCGAUGGCGAAGGCAGUCCCCUGGGCCGAUACUGACGCUCAUGCACGAAAGCGUGGGUAGCAAACAGG
rnacentral:rRNA from 1 species